rnacentral:tRNA from 1 species
GGAGAGGUGGCCGAGUGGCUGAAGGCGCCGGUUUUGAAAACCGGUCGGGCUAAUACCCGCGGGGGUUCGAAUCCCUCCCUCUCCG